AUGAAUCUGUUAAGUUGGAACUGCCGGGGUGGGGGGAAUCCCCGGACAGUUCGUGAUGUUGCGACGUUGGUGCAGUCGCAUUCCCCCAUGUUUGUGUUUUUGUGUGAAACUCGACAAAAAGCUAGUAAGAUGAAAAGAAUUAGAGGGCGUCUUGGCCUUCACGGCUUUGUGGGUGUGGACAGUAAUGGUUUAAGCGGUGGCCUAGCAUUGUUUUGGCACGAAUCUUACCAAGUAACAGUUCUUGGAACAGAUGACAGGUUCAUUGACAUUGCUGUUAGCUCUCCCAGCGGGGAGCAAUGGAGAUUAACUUCAGUUUAUGGUGAACCAAGGGUUGAAAACAGGCACUUGAUGUGGACUAAACUUCAAAUGUUGAAGCAAGCCUCGGACCUGCUUUGGGUAGUAAUUGGAGACUUCAAUGAGGCGCUGUGGAGCUUUGAACACAUGUCCUUGACGCCUAGGCCAGAAGCUCAGAUGGCCGUUUUUUGGGAUGUACUGAUGACAUGUGAGUUAGUUGAUUUGGGGUUUUCGGGAAUACCCUAUACAUAUGACAAUAUGCGUUCGGGAUUGGCAAAUGUACGCGUACGGCUGGAUCGUGCAGUGGUAACAAGUGAGUGGAGAAACAUGUUCGCAUACUCCUCUGUACAACACCUUGCAUCCCCUUGUUCGGACCAUAUCCCACUGCUGCUAAAGUUGGAUGCAGAGCAGGAGAGGCCUAGAGCCAACGCACGGUGA
rnacentral:rRNA from 1 species